UACGAAGGGGGCUAGCGUUGUUCGGAAUCACUGGGCGUAAAGCGCACGUAGGCGGUUUGUUAAGUCGGAUGUGAAAUCCCUCGGCUCAACUGAGGAAGUGCAUCCGAAACUGGCAAGCUUGAGUACGAAAGAGGGUCGCGGAAUUCCACGUGUAGCGGUGAAAUGCGUAGAGAAUGUGGAGGAACACCGAUGGCGAAGGACAGCC
rnacentral:rRNA from 1 species